rfam:Bacteroidetes bacterium RIFOXYA12_FTLL_38_20 rifixya3_full_scaffold_11, whole genome shotgun sequence.
AAGGCGUAUCCGAAAAGCCAUAAGAGUAGGAA